CGGACGGGUGAGUAAUGUCUGGGAAACUGCCUGAUGGAGGGGGAGUAACUACUGGAAACGGUAGCUAAUACCGCAUAACGUCGCAAGACCAAAGAGGGGGACCUUCGGGCCUCUUGCCAUCGGAUGUGCCCAGAUGGGAUUAGCUAGUAGGUGGGGUAACGGCUCACCUAGGCGACGAUCCCUAGCUGGUCUGAGAGGAUGACCAGCCACACUGGAACUGAGACACGGUCCAGACUCCUACGGGAGGCAGCAUG
rnacentral:rRNA from 1 species